CAUUUCUUCUGUGAGUGUGUCAUUUGGGCACUAAGCCUGAAAUGCCCUGGCUGCUUGGCUGCAAACAAACUUAGGAGGAAUGGGGGGAGAAAUGCAUACCUUGUUUAAUAUUUAAAUCAUAUUUCAUAUCACCCCGACACAGGUGUUGGCUGAUUUCAGUGUGGCUUCCCGAGGGCAGGAGAUACUGUGGGUCACAGAAGAAUCAGUCUAGAUGGAGAAAACCAAGACUGCUCCCAGAGAGAAGACAGACAAAAGAAAACAAGCGUCUUCCAUCCCUCGUAUCUCGGCAUAGCAGAUACUGAGGUGAUUUGUCGAUCUGGAUGACAAGGGAGCUGGACCGAGCUCCUUGGCCAGGUGGGGAAGACUUUAAACUCGGCGUUUAAAAAUUGGCACUCUAAAAAAAGAUCAAACAGGAGCCAGCCCGGUGGCGCAGCAGUUAAGUUCACACGUUCAGCUUCUUGGUGGCCUGGGGUUCUCCGGUUCGGAUCCCAGGUAUGGGCAUGGCUCUGCUUGGCAAAAGCCAUGCUGUGGCAGGCGUCCCACAUAUAAUGUAGAGGAAGAUGGGCAUGGAUUUUAGCUCAGGGCCAGGCUUCCUCAGCAAAAAAGAGGAGGACUGGCAGUAGUUAGCUCAAGGCUAAUCUUCCUCAAAGAAAAAAUAAAUAAAAAAAGGUCAAACA
rnacentral:lncRNA from 1 species